CGUCUCAACGAAUCCAACCUUCUUCGAUAUUCUCCCCGACUUUCUGGCUCCUAUAAUAAAAGAAAUCCACGAAAACGGAUGCUGCUAGCAAGAGCUGCUGUUGCUAUUGCUUCUCUAACCAUUGCUGUUGGUGUUGGUAUUGUUGCUUUUGCUGCUGAUGCAUGGAAGUAUAUUUUCAUUCUACUCGUUCUCUGUUUCUUUCUAUCUCCCUUUUCACAGACUCCCCAUAUCCGAGAGAAAGGAAGAAGAAGAAGUUACGGGGCUUUCUACUUUAAUGGAUAUUCUCGGAAGUCGCUUGCUUAUCUUUUGCGAAGGCGAGAAUAAAGAAAAGGGAGGGUUAAUAAACUUGAAUGUUCGUCUAGAAUUUCAUCUUCUUUACUUAGUUAAAUAUUCUGCAAUGAUUUUGUACCAAUUUACAGAUAUAAAGAAUACAAAAUCAGAGGUUCCUAUGUGCAAAAA